AUUGAACGCUGGCGGCGUGCUUAACACAUGCAAGUCGAGCGGUAACAGGUGUAGCAAUACAUGCUGACGAGCGGCGAACGGGUGAGUAAUGCUUCGGAAUCUUCCUCGUAGUGGGGAAUAACCUGGGGAAACUCAGGCUAAUACCGCAUACGAACUACGGUUGAAAGCAGGGGAUCGCAAGACCUUGCGCUAUGAGAUGAGCCGAAGUCGGAUUAGCUAGUUGGUGAGGUAAAGGCUCACCAAGGCGACGAUCCGUAGCUGGUCUGAGAGGACGACCAGCCACACUGGGACUGAGACACGGCCCAGACUCCUACGGGAGGCAGCAGUGGGGAAUAUUGGACAAUGGGGGCAACCCUGAUCCAGCGACGCCGCGUGUGUGAAGAAGGCCUGCGGGUUGUAAAGCACUUUUAGUGGGGAUGAAAAGCCAAGGGUUAAUACCCUUUGGUCUUGACCUAACCCAAAGAAAAAGCACCGGCUAACUCUGUGCCAGCAGCCGCGGU
rnacentral:rRNA from 1 species